UGCUCGACCAUCCCUCCCACUCCGCCCCUCGGCUUGACCGUCCCUCCCACUCCGCCCCUUGCUCUCCUUCUGUGUUCCCAUGGAGAUGGAGCCGUGGGGAAGGUCUGCAUUUACUGUGAGGGAUGCGCGAGAGCUCAAAGAGGAGGGCUUCUUGCGCCCACAAGGGGAUUCGGCGGCGCCGGCGUGGAUCAUCCCCGAGAAUUAAAAGGAGUACGUGCCCCCUUCUGGACAUGUGGUGAGCUUCAAGAGCUUCCAUGAGUGCGGUUUCGGGGUGCCCGCCAGCCGAUUCCUUCGCAGAAUCUUGGGGCACUAUGGGGUUGAGCUCCAAAAUCUCAAUCCCAAUGGCGUGCUCAACCUGUCGGUCUUCGUCGGCCUGUGUGAGGGCUUCCUGGGCAUCGAUGCCCAUUUUGGCCUCAGGAAGUACUUCUUCAAAGCCCGGGUCUUCCGCAAGUUGUUGGCUGGGGGGGAGGGUGCCGGUGCAUGCGGACAGCUUCGCAAUCUAGCUGCGUGCGAACUGGAACAUUGGCUACCUCCCCGGGCCGACGAUGACCUCCAACAAAGGCUGGCACCAGAAGUGGUUCUAUGUUCGUGAUGACCCUGACUCUCCUCUGUCGCCAUACUUAGGCCUCUCUUUCGACGACGCGCUCGAGUUGUGGAAGGAAGCCCCAAACGCCGAGGAGAUCAGGAAGGUCGACAGCCUAUUUCAAGCAAUCAAUAGGUUGAAGAACGAGGGGGCAACCGGUUUGAGGAUCUUUGCUACCCUGCCACAAUGGAGAGUGCUAUCGCUCAUGCUCUGAGAGUGGAGGUUGCACGAGAUGGUCCCUGGUGCUCCCCUUGAAGGCACCGUUUUGGUGCAGGGGCGGCCAGAUCUCGCAAGGUUCAUGUCUCACCUUUGUUCAAUGUUCAAGAACAUUGGGGAGGAAGAUCCGCUCCUCCUCCAUCCGGAGAUGCACCCUAGCUAUGACGCUGUCGUGCUGGGGAACUUGACGCUGGUCCCGCCCAGCCCUCCCCCUAACCUACGAGCUCUGACGGGGUGGGGAGAGGAGAAUGUCCGCGAUGCAGAGGCGCGACGUCGAAGUUGAGCGGAAGGAAGCGAGGCUUGACAAGAUCAUCAGGAUGAAGGCGCACGCGCAGCUCUGUCGAGAGGGCGUGGAGGUUGAUUCUCUUUCUUCGGAUGAUAAAGAGGGAAAUGGCAAUGCAAAGGGCCCCACCUUCGCGGCGGACAUUUCGGCUGCGCCGCCUGCCCAGGAUCCUCCGCCGCAUUCGGUCCGAGCCGAGACGGAGGACCGUCCGCCCCCUUUCGCCCGGGAGGGCGAUGAUUGUCGCGCAGGCGCCUUCUUCUACUGAGAUGGUGGAGGUGGCUCCUUGGGCGUCCCCGGUGGUAUCUUCACUCCCGCCUUCCGCCACCAUUGUACCGGGCAGAGUGUCGGGAAAGAGGCCCAUCGAGGGCUGUCAUACCAUCGGUGCCCGUCCUGCGAAAUGAUGUCGUCCGUCGGAGUUCUGGAGAGCUCAGAUAAACAACAUCUAACAAGGAGUAACCAUGGUAUAUGCACCGCCAAUUUUAGUUGCAAGCCAAAGAAGAUAUUCCAAAGACAAAAAAAGAUUAGAUAAUAUUGUUAACCACUGAGACAUACAUUCCUUCUAAAAUUGUUAGAAGGAAUGUUUUGUCUUAGUUAGGAAACAUAUAGCGUGACAUGAUCUUGGCUUGCAAGUCAAGACUGUACCCCUUGUAAUCUCUUGUAUUUUGUCUAGUGUAAUCAUGAUUUGUACUUGCCACGCUAGGGGCUUUUCCUAGCCAAUAUAACACGUA